GGAUGCCUGUUCACGGAGAAUCUGGUGUUUUCUCUUUCUCUGUGUUUGUGUUUGUUUGUGAUGUGUGUUUUUGUGUUUCUAGCAAAAUCUUACUCUUUUAAGGUGUGAUUGUAGUUAAAAAUUGUGAAUGUGCUAACAAAAAUUGUAGUUUAUGCAAUUUUGGUAUUUUUGAUAUCUUGUCACUCAUGUAGCUAACAAAAAUUGUCUAAACAGAUGGGAUAUCUCAGAGUAUUGGG
rnacentral:misc_RNA from 1 species